AGUUUGAUCCUGGCUCAGGAUGAACGCUGGCGGCGUGCCUAACACAUGCAAGUCGAGCGAUCUUCUUCGGAAGAGAGCGGCGGACGGGUGAGUAACGCGUGGGUAACCUGCCCUGUACACACGGAUAACAUACCGAAAGGUAUGCUAAUACGAGAUAAUAUGCUUUUGUCGCAUGGUAGAAGUAUCAAAGCUUUUGCGGUACAGGAUGGACCCGCGUCUGAUUAGCUAGUUGGUAAGGUAACGGCUUACCAAGGCGACGAUCAGUAGCCGACCUGAGAGGGUGAUCGGCCACAUUGGAACUGAGACACGGUCCAAACUCCUACGGGAGGCAGCAGUGGGGAAUAUUGCACAAUGGGCGAAAGCCUGAUGCAGCAACGCCGCGUGAGCGAUGAAGGCCUUCGGGUCGUAAAGCUCUGUCCUCAAGGAAGAUAAUGACGGUACUUGAGGAGGAAGCCCCGGCUAACUACGUGCCAGCAGCCGCGGUAAUACGUAGGGGGCUAGCGUUAUCCGGAAUUACUGGGCGUAAAGGGUGCGUAGGUGGUUUCUUAAGUCAGAGGUGAAAGGCUACGGCUCAACCGUAGUAAGCCUUUGAAACUGGGAAACUUGAGUGCAGGAGAGGAGAGUGGAAUUCCUAGUGUAGCGGUGAAAUGCGUAGAUAUUAGGAGGAACACCAGUUGCGAAGGCGGCUCUCUGGACUGUAACUGACACUGAGGCACGAGAGCGUGGGGAGCAAACAGGAUUAGAUACCCUGGUAGUCCACGCCGUAAACGAUGAGUACUAGCUGUCGGAGGUUACCCCCUUCGGUGGCGCAGCUAACGCAUUAAGUACUCCGCCUGGGAAGUACGCUCGCAAGAGUGAAACUCAAAGGAAUUGACG
rnacentral:rRNA from 1 species